rnacentral:rRNA from 1 species
GUUGAACGCUGGCGGCAGGCCUAACACAUGCAAGUCGAACGGUAACAGGAAACAGCUUGCUGUUUCGCUGACGAGUGGCGGACGGGUGAGUCAUGUCUGGGAAACUGCUUGAUGGAGGGGGAUAACUACUGGAACCGGUAGCUAAUACCGCAUAACGUCGCAAGACCAAAGAGGGGGACCUUCAGGCCUCUUGCCAUCGGCUGUGCCCAGAUGGGAUUAGCUAGUAGGUGGGGUAACGGCUCACCUAGGCGACGAUCCCUAGCUGGUCUGAGAGGAUGACCAGCCACACUGGAACUGAGACACGGUCCAGACUCCUACGGGAGGCAGCAGUGGGGAAUAUUGCACAAUGGGCGCAAGCCUGAUGCAGCCAUGCCGCGUGUAUGAAGAAGGUCUUCGGGUUGUAAAGUACUUUCAGCGGGGAGGAAGGGAGUAAAGUUAAUACCUUUACUUAUUGACGUUACCCACAGAAGAAGCACCGGCUAACUCCGUG